rnacentral:rRNA from 1 species
AGUGAACGCUGGCGGUAGGCCUAACACAUGCAAGUCGAACGGCAGCACAGUAAGAGCUUGCUCUUACGGGUGGCGAGUGGCGGACGAGUGAGGGAUACAUCGGAAUCUACUUUUUCGUGGGGGAUAACGUAGGGAAACUUACGCUAAUACCGCAUACGACCUACGGGUGAAAGCAGGGGAUCUUCGGACCUUGCGCGAUUGAAUGAGCCGAUGUCGGAUUAGCUAGUUGGCGGGGUAAAGGCCCACCAAGGCGACGAUCCGUAGCUGGUCUGAGAGGAUGAUCAGCCACACUGGAACUGAGACACGGUCCAGACUCCUACGGGAGGCAGCAGUGGGGAAUAUUGGACAAUGGGCGCAAGCCUGAUCCAGCCAUACCGCGUGGGUGAAGAAGGCCUUCGGGUUGUAAAGCCCUUUUGUUGGGAAAGAAAAGCAGCAGGUUAAUACCCCGCUGUUCUGACGGUACCCAAAGAAUAAGCACCGGCUAACUUCGUG